rnacentral:rRNA from 1 species
AACGAACGCUGGCGGCGUGCCUAACACAUGCAAGUCGAACGAGACCUUCGUGUCUACUGGCUCACCGGUUCGUAACGCGUGGGAUCCUGCCCUUAUGUUCUGACUAACUCCCCGGAAUAGGUGCGAGUACCUGAUCAUGUUUCUGGACCAAAGGUUUAUCGCCUUUGUGUGGUCCCGCGUUGGAUUAGCUAGUUGGUAGGGUAAAAGCCUGCCAAGGCGACGAUCCAUGGCUGGUCUGAGAGGAUGAUCGGCCACACUGGGACUGAGACAAGGCCCAGACUACUACGGGAAGCAGCAGUGGGGAAUAUUGGAGAAUGGGCGAAAGCCUGAUCCAGCAAGGCCGAGUGAGUCAUGAAGGCUGUAGGGUUGUAACGCUCUUUUACCAGGGAUGAUAAUGACAGUACCGGGAGAAUAAGCUCCGGCUAACUACGUG